rnacentral:tRNA from 1 species
GUGGCCGUAGCUCAGUUGGUAGAGCGCCGGAUUGUGGCUCCGGCUGUCGCGGGUUCAAGCCCCGUCGGUCACCCCA